rnacentral:ribozyme from 1 species
UUUUUUUUUUUUUUUUUUUUUUUUUUUUUUUUUUUUUUUUUUCUGACAAGCCGCGUACU